ACAUGGGUUUGGAUUUAUGGCAGGCCUGUCCCCCUGGGAAUCUCCUAGUAUCUCAUGCCAGAGCAAACCUAUGGCUCCAAACCAUUGUCUGGCAUCUGCCUGCAGGCUGCUGGCACUGAAGUAGGUUUUACAGUG
rnacentral:snoRNA from 1 species